GCAGAACCGGUGAAGAUUUGGGGACGGGACGAGGCGGCCGCGACCCUGCCGGAGUCCGGGGGGGACCUCCAGAAACCCGGGGGGUCCCUGACUCUCGUGUGCCGCGCAUCCGGGUUCAGUUUUGGGAGAGUUGCCAUGUUCUGGAUCCGCCAGAGCCCCGGGAAGGCGCUGGAAUGGCUGGCUGAGAUCAGCAGUGGUGGCAGCACCUACUACGCGCCGUCGGUCAAGGGCCGGUUCACGAUCUCCAGGGACAACGGGCAGAGCUCGGUGACGCUGACCAUGACCAACCUCAAGGACGACGAUUCCGGCUCCUAUUUCUGUGCCAAAAAUGCUGAUCGUUGUUGUGCUGGUGCUUAUGCUGCUGAUGACCCUUCCCCCAAACCCCAACUCUUGAACCCAACCUUCAACAUUGAACCCGAGUCCUUAGAUCUGGGCCCAAAUUCGAGCAUUGAGUCCGCCGGAAUCCAUCUGGAUCUGUUUGAGUCCGUUCGAUUCUGUUUCAAUCCAGUUCAAUCCAGUUCAAUCCAGAUCAAUCCACUUCAAUCCAGUUCAAUCCAGUUCAAUUCCAUUGAGUGCGUUUCAAUCUGUUUCCCACAGGGACCCCACUGA